AAAAUUCGACGUUUACUGACAUCGAAAGAUGAUGUUUACUGACACCAAGAAAGAUCGACCAGACAUUUACUGAUGAAUGGGAAGACUCGACGUUUACUGACAUCGAAAGAUGAUAUUUACAGACACCAAAAAAGAUCGACCAGACAUUUACUGAUGAAUGGGAAGACUCGACGUUUACUGACAUCGAAAGAUGAUGUUUAC
rnacentral:lncRNA from 1 species